GACGAACGCUGGCGGCAUGCCUAACACAUGCAAGUCGAACGAGACCAAGGCUUCGGCCUGAAGUCUAGUGGCGCACGGGUGCGUAACGCGUGGGAAUCUACCCUUGGGUUCGGAAUAACAGUUAGAAAUGACUGCUAAUACCGGAUGAUGACGUAAGUCCAAAGAUUUAUCGCCCAGGGAUGAGCCCGCGUAAGAUUAGCUUGUUGGUGAGGUAAAGGCUCACCAAGGCGACGAUCUUUAGCUGGUCUGAGAGGAUGAUCAGCCACACUGGGACUGAGACACGGCCCAGACUCCUACGGGAGGCAGCAGUGGGGAAUAUUGGACAAUGGGCGAAAGCCUGAUCCAGCAAUGCCGCGUGAGUGAUGAAGGCCUUAGGGUUGU
rnacentral:rRNA from 1 species